AAAAUCAGGAAGAGUUAGAGCAUAGUCUAAAUCCGAGAACGUGUUGUACGAGUGUCCAUGGAAAUCAAAUAAACGUGGUGUUGUGCGAGUGGACCGCAGUUAGAGCGACCGGGUGUUGAUACGUCGAAUUUGUGGGGAUAAGGCGGCUCAUUCAGCGUCAAUAAUAGGAUUCGGCGGGAUAAGGGCGGCCACUUCAACGGCAAUGGUGUUCGUUCUUCAUUUAGAAAUUUAGUGUCCCAUUGUGGGCAACGCAAUUUUGUUCUGAGAACAUAUUGAGCGUGUUCAAUGAUGAAGUUGGAGGGACAAGUGAUGAAGGUUAAGGCGCCUAUUACAGUAGACGACAUCCUCAAAGAUUAUCCAGGUUAUGUCAUUUUUUCACUGGGUUGUCGUUCAUCGUUUGGGAUAAGAGCCAAACCUAAUGUAGAUCUGCUCUACCUAUUUCAAUGAAAGAAGUGCGGAGAAGAAUGUGUUUUGGCUCUUAAUUUUUCUACAGAUGAUUCAGACAAAUUUGCAAUCGUGGAGAGAGUGUUUGAAACCGACCAUUUCUUUAAACUGAUUGAAGCUAUUUAUAAGUAUACCCCAUUUGAUUCAAUUAAUUUAUUAUAUAUCUAUCAGUGACCAUAUCACCACCAAGGGAGGGUAUUUGAGGUGGUGGUUCCCUCACUGUCGUGGGGGCUGCAAUGGGAAGUAUAGAUUUAUCAUGCUAAGUUGAUUUAAGGAUGGCUGGUUCCAAACACUCUCUGCACGAUUGUGAAUUUGUCUGGAUCAUCUGGAGGAAAAUUGGGAUGCAUGAUACUUUCUUCUGUGUAUUUCUUGCAUUGUAGUAGGCCGGGCGGAUACUAUUUUUCUCUUUUCCAACAAAAAAGACUCAAAACGCGUGAAACAGUGGAAAGAACCCUGCAUUCAGAUCUCAGCUGUGCGAAAUCCCAGCGGAUGAAAGGAGAAAGGUAAAGGAAGACCCGGAGGUACAGAAAUACAAAUUGCCGUGGAAUCCUUGCGUAGGAGCAUUUCUGAAAUUCGCAGAAAAGUUCAGGGGCUGCAGAUCAGAGUCCCCGCCUGAACACUGACACAAUGCAGAGCUAAUAGUUAAAGAAGAUUUCUCCAAGUCAAAGUUUUGGCUUGUGAAUUACAUAAUCACAUAAGUUUUCUGAUAUGAGCCAUCCUGGGCAUUGCUAUAGUUCAUGUAUUGAUAGAUAAAAUACUGUAGAGUUCCUACCUGUCAUAUUUUCCAAUUUUAAUAUCUGAGAGAUGUGUUAAAACAGAUACAGAUGAAUAGUAUGGGACAACAUUCAUUUCUUGAUGAACCUAGGACAAUUUUUAUUACAUUGUUGGCUGCGAGCUCAACGCUAAAAUUACUCUCCUUUGCACUAUUUCAAAAGUGUUAUAUUUUAGUUUACCCAAUAUCUGUUGGAGUUAUGUUCUUUAUUGCCUCACUGCCUUAUCUUGUCUUAUUUGGUUUACUGACAAUAUCUACAUCAGAACAGAUUUAGGUGGCGCUCAGCUUGUUGUAUUUUGCUGUGUACUGCAAGAUUGAACCGCCUCAUUACAACUAUGAAUAAGUGUAUUGGGGCUUUAAUGCGGUGUAUGUAAUCCAACUCAUAUAUGAGAUAUUAGGAGAACUCUGCAGAGUCCCUAAAUCAAUGCAUUUGUAUUUUGAUCAAUAGAUAUAAUUCUGCAGUAGCAGAUUUGAUA